rnacentral:rRNA from 1 species
AUUGAACGCUGGCGGCAGGCCUAACACAUGCAAGUCGAGCGAGCGGCGGACGGGUGAGUAAUGUAUGGGGACUGCCCGAUAGAGGGGGAUAACUACUGGAAACGGUGGCUAAUACCGCAUACUAUCGGAUAACCCAUAUGGGAUUAGCUAGUAGGUGGGGUAAAGGCUCACCAAGGCCACGCUGCAUAUCCGACCUGAGAGGGUGAUCGGCCACACUGGGACUGCGACACGGCCCAGACUCCUACGGAGGCAGCAGUGGGGAAUAUUGCACAAUGGGCGCAAGCCUGAUGCAGCCAUGCCGCGUGUAUGAAGAAGGCCUUAGGGUUGUAAAGUACUUUCAGCGGGGAGGCGUUACCCGCAGAAGAAGCACCGGCUAACUCCGUGCCAGCAGCCGCGGUAAUUC